UCUGGCGGCAGUAGCGCGGUGGUCCCACCUGACCCCAUGCCGAACUCAGAAGUGAAACGCCGUAGCGCCGAUUAGACCGACAUGGUCAUGGCUAUCG
rnacentral:rRNA from 1 species